rnacentral:rRNA from 1 species
AAAACAUCUUCUCUUGAUUUAAUUUGAGAUAAGGCCUGCCCAAUGAGUGUUUUAAUGGCCGCGGUAUUUUGACCGUGCAAAGGUAGCAUAAUCAUUAGCUUAUUUAUUGUGAGCUUGUAUGAAUGGUAUGACGAGACAUUAACUGUCUCUUUAUAAUUAUUAGAAUUUAAAUUUUGAGUUAAAAUGCUUAGAUUUUAUUAUAGGACGAGAAGACCCUAUAGAUCUUUAUAAUUUUUAUUUUAUAGUUGUUUAGAUUGUUUUAUUUUUUAAAGUAUUUAUAUUUUGGUUGGGGUGACAUGAGGAUAUUAUUAACUCUUUAUUUUAUUUUACAUUGAUUUAUGAUUUUUUGACCUUGUUUUAUUGUUAUAAGAUUGAGAUACCUUAGGGAUAACAGCGUAAUUUGUUUUGAGAGUUCUUAUUGACAAAUAAGAUUGCGACCUCGAUGUUGGAUUAAGAUAAUUUCUUGGUGUAGAAGCUAAGAUUUUAGGUCUGUUCGACCUUUGAAUUCUUACA